AAUGAACGCUGGCGGCGUGGUUAAGACAUGCAAGUCGAACGGUUUUUGUUGUGUAGCAAUACAUAACAAAAGCAGUGGCGAACGGGUGCGUAACGCGUGAACAAUCUACCUUCAAAUGGGGAAUAGCUCGCCGAAAGGCGAAUUAAUACCGCAUGUGAUUUUUUCCCGCAUGGGAGAGAUAUCAAAGUCAGGGACCGCAAGGCCUGACGUUAGAAGAGGAGUUCGCGGCCUACAGCUAGUUGGC
rnacentral:rRNA from 1 species